AGUAAAAAAUGGGGUGUUAAUAUUUCAGAGUAAAGUUAUUUUAACCCAGAUAGAGUAUUUUCAACAUUUUGGGGAGUAAAACUGCUCUUUUAGUGGAGUUAAAAGUGAGUGUAAAAAUCUGCAGAAACGCAGUGACAAUUUCAACUCUACAGUAGUGAUAAAUACCCACCACUCUGCUGUGCUUGUCAAACGUGCUGCAUUUCAGUGGAGGAAGAUUGCGAAGGAGCAACGCUAGGCCACUGAUAUUGCUCGGGGCAAAAUGCUGUUGUGUGUUCAAUUCGGGGAAGAGCAGAAAUACGUCAAGCUGUCUGAGCUGACAUUCGAUGCUUUCUUGAAAGAAGUUACAUAAAAUCGGCUGCAGAUACCAUGGUGACCAAUGGUUUGAGGGUUCAAAUGAGGGUUCAAAGUCUGUCUCAAUGUAGCUUCAAAAUCUCGAUAUGAUCCCAGCAGAGAAAUAAGGUUCUUAUCUAGUUAAAUGAUCGGUCAUUUUCAAAAUAAAAAUACCACAAUUGUACGUUGUAGAAUCUCAAGAUGUGCCACAUGUGCCGUCAUGAUGUCGUAAAGGUCCAAUUGUGGUUAAAAAUUAUAUUAUUUUUAUUUUGAAAACAGCCGAUCGUUUCACUAUAUAAGACCCUUAUUUCUCUGCAGGGAUUGUCAGGUCUUUGAAGCUACAUUAAGACAUUUGACCCUUCAUUUGAACCCUCAAACCAUUGGUCACCAUGGAAGUUCAUUAUAUGGAGAAAAAUCCUGGAAUGUUUUCCUCAAAAAACGUAUAUUAUUUUCGCCUGAAGAAAGAAAGACAUGAACAUCUUGGAUGACAUGGGGGUGAGUAACUUAUCAGCAAAAACAUUUUUCAAAGUGAACUAAUUCUUUAACAGUUGUUUAAAAUAUAUCUUCUAUCACCUCAAUCUUGUGAUCUAAUCUAUUGUCAGAAGUUAGUCACCAAAACAAUUCUGUUGAAUGUGUUUUGUUGUAGGUUGGAACCAGUGUGCAGCAGCAUCUAGACAACAUCACCAAAAGCAGUCAGCCCUACCUUCUCGCCCAGGGAUCCAUACAGAGCACCAUUCACUCCUACUUUAUUGUGUUUGACAAGCAUGCACUUCCAUGCAAGGCAACAGGUUCAGUUGGAGAUUUUGUCGAACUCUUUAAAGCCCAUUACGUCUUUGGUACGUCAUACAGUCCUUCAUUCGCUCCAUAUGACAUACAAAUGUUAUAUGGAAGGAAUGACACAUCUCUCCUUGUCGUGCCAUAUUGCUU